GACGAACGCUGGCGGCGUGCUUAACACAUGCAAGUCGAACGGGAUCCAUCCCAGCUUGCUGGGAGAAGAUCUAGUGGCGAACGGGUGCGUAACACGCGGGCAACCUACCUCGGAGAUCGGGAUAACAGCUGGAAACGGCUGCUAAUACCGGAUAACCCUCUCGGAUCGCAUGGUCCGAGUGGCAAAUGGUCCGCCGCCCCGGGAUGGGCCCGCGGCCUAUCAGCUGGUUGGUGAGGUAACAGCUCACCAAGGCGACGACGGGUAGCCGGCCUGAGAGGGUGAUCGGCCACACUGGGACUGAGACACGGCCCAGACUCCUACAGGAGGCAGCAGGGGGGAAUUUUGCGCAAUGGGCGAAAGCCUGACGCAGCAACGCCGCGUGGAGGAUGAAGGUCUUCGGAUUGUAAACUCCUGUCGGGAGGGACGAAGCGAAAGUGACGGUACCUCCAAAGGAAGCCCCGGCUAACUACGUGCCAGCCGCCGCCGUAA
rnacentral:rRNA from 1 species